UGGGGGGGGGGGUGCUAUACAUGCAAGUCGAGCGAACUGAUUAGAAGCUUGCUUCUAUGACGUUAGCGGCGGACGGGUGAGUAACACGUGGGCAACCUGCCUGUAAGACUGGGAUAACUUCGGGAAACCGAAGCUAAUACCGGAUAGGAUCUUCUCCUUCAUGGGAGAUGAUUGAAAGAUGGUUUCGGCUAUCACUUACAGAUGGGCCCGCGGUGCAUUAGCUAGUUGGUGAGGUAACGGCUCACCAAGGCAACGAUGCAUAGCCGACCUGAGAGGGUGAUCGGCCACACUGGGACUGAGACACGGCCCAGACUCCUACGGGAGGCAGCAGUAGGGAAUCUUCCGCAAUGGACGAAAGUCUGACGGAGCAACGCCGCGUGAGUGAUGAAGGCUUUCGGGUCGUAAAACUCUGUUGUUAGGGAAGAACAAGUACAAGAGUAACUGCUUGUACCUUGACGGUACCUAACCAGAAAGCCACGGCUAACUACGUGCCAGCAGCCGCGGUAAU
rnacentral:rRNA from 2 species